rnacentral:rRNA from 1 species
AUGACCGUGCGGUACCCGGCUGAAGACUCGGGGGAGAAGAUCACGAUCUCGGCGCACCUCGUCGGCGAGGGCGGGGUCGGCGACAGCCACUUCCAUCUCGACAGCGACGACUACGAGCCCAUCGUUUUCGCAGUGAAAAACCUUGUCUCGGCUCUGGAGAAGGUAGGAGAUCCGCAGGCCUCUCUAUCCAAGAUGUAG